rnacentral:rRNA from 1 species
UACGUAGGUGGCAAGCGUUGUCCGGAUUUACUGGGCGUAAAGCGUAUGCAGGCGGAUCUUUAAGUAGAAAGUGAAAGGUUGGGGCUUAACUCCAACACUGCUCUCUAUACUGGAGGUCUUGAGUGCCGGAGAGGAAGAUGGAACUGCACGUGUAGCAGUGAAAUGCGUUGAGAUGUGCAGGAACACCAAUGGCGAAAGCAAUCUUCUGGACGGAUACUGACGCUGAGAUACGAAAGCCAAGGGAGCGAACAGG